rnacentral:rRNA from 1 species
AGAGUUUGAUCAUGGCUCAGGACGAACGCUGGCGGCGUGCCUAACACAUGCAAGUCGAGCGGAGAACUUCGGUUCUCAGCGGCGGACGGGUGAGUAACACGUGGGUAACCUGCCUUGUAGAGGGGGAUAGCCUUCCGAAAGGAAGAUUAAUACCGCAUAACAUUAUGCUUUCGCAUGAGAGUAUAAUCAAAGGAGCAAUCCGCUACAAGAUGGACCCGCGGCGCAUUAGCUAGUUGGUGAGGUAACGGCUCACCAAGGCGACGAUGCGUAGCCGGCCUGAGAGGGUGAACGGCCACAUUGGAACUGAGACACGGUCCAGACUCCUACGGGAGGCAGCAGUGGGGAAUAUUGCACAAUGGGCGAAAGCCUGAUGCAGCAACGCCGCGUGAGUGAUGAAGGCCUUAGGGUUGUAAAGCUCUGUCUUCUGGGACGAUAAUGACGGUACCAGAGGAGGAAGCCACGGCUAGCUACGUGCCAGCAGCCGCGGUAAUACGUAGGUGGCAAGCGUUGUCCGGAUUUACUGGGCGUAAAGGAUGCGUAGGCGGAUGCUUAAGUCAGAUGUGAAAAUCCCGGGCUUAACUUGGGAACUGCAUUUGAAACUGGGUAUCUAGAGUGCGGGAGAGGAGAGUGGAAUUCCUAGUGUAGCGGUGAAAUGCGUAGAGAUUAGGAAGAACACCAGUGGCGAAGGCGACUCUCUGGACCGUAACUGACGCUGAGGCAUGAAAGCGUGGGGAGCAAACAGGAUUAGAUACCCUGGUAGUCCACGCCGUAAACUAUGAAUACUAGGUGUGGGAGUUGUCAUGACUUCCGUGCCGCAGUUAACACAAUAAGUAUUCCGCCUGGGGAGUACGGUCGCAAGAUUAAAACUCAAAGGAAUUGACGG